GCAUUAACAUUCCGCCUGGGAGUACGUCGCAAGGCUGAAACUCAAAGGAAUUGACGGGGGCCCGCACAAGCGGUGGAGCAUGUGGUUAAUUCGACGCAACGCGAAGAACCUUACCCGGGCUUGAACUGCAGGUGACCAUCCACGAAAGUGGACUUCCGCAAGGACGCCUGUAGAGGUGCUGCAUGGCUGUCGUCAGCUCGUGUCGUGAGAUGUUGGGUUAAGUCCCGCAACGAGCGCAACCCUCGUUCGCUGUUGCCAUCAGGUCAAGCUGGGCACUCUGCGGAGACUGCCGGUGACAAACCGGAGGAAGGUGGGGAUGACGUCAAGUCAGCAUGGCCUUUAUGUCCGGGGCUACACACGUGCUACAAUGGCCGGUACAAACCGUCGCGAUCCCGCAAGGGGGAGCUAAUCGGAGAAAGCCGGUCUCAGUUCGGAUCGCAGGCUGCAACUCGCCUGCGUGAAGUCGGAAUCGCUAGUAAUCGCGGAUCAGCACGCCGCGGUGAAUACGUUCCCGGGCCUUGUACACACCGCCCGUCACAUCACGAAAGCUGCCUGUACUAGAAAUCGCCGGGCUAACCCGCAAGGGGGGCAAGCGCUUAAGGUAUGGGUAGUGAUUGGGGUGAAGUCGUAACAAGGUAACCGUAAAGACUGGAGAUCUG
rnacentral:rRNA from 1 species